CCGCAAUGCACAGAAUCAUACACCAAAUCCCUAACAAUUGAGCAUUCCCUCUAUUCAUCUCCUUUUUUCUUCACAUUCAAAUUCAAUUUCACUCAUGGAGGAAGAUGCUCAACAGAGCUUCUGUUUCUGCAAAUCCGACUUUGAUUUUGCCAUUCCGGGCAUCUUCUUCUGAGUGUGGUAGCGAACCAGAUAUCACAACGAAAGGAAUUCUUUUGGUUGAUAAGGGGUGAUGAUGUUGUUAAAUUGUUCGAAAAGCUUGUGGAUCUGAAACUGUGUGAACCUAAUGAAGUUACAAUGGAAUAAUGAUCGGUGACGUCUGAUAAGGUUGGCAUCUCGAUUUUUCUAUGACACUUCUUUUGAAGAAGAUUCGAAAGAAGUAGUAAGAAACCGAUGCCAAGUCUAAUAAUGUGUUAAUUGACGUGUUGUGCUGGGAAAUUAUUCGAAAAGAUUUUUGGAUUUCUUAUGCGAGUCUAACUAUGUUAUUAUUAUGGACUCUGGUGAUGUGUGGACUUUGCAAAGUUGGACAAAUAGUUAUAGCUCAUGAUCUGCAGUAUAUAUAAAUGCAUUGCAUAGCUAUACAAAUAAAGUUUGUGUUGAUCAAUGAAGUCCAACAAUCCGUGGGGAUUCCUUCUUCAUUAAAAGAUUGUUUUUAGAGGAUAAGGUUGGAUUCUUUCUUCAUUAAAGCAUUGUUUUUAGAGGAUAAGGUUACUGAUUUGAGACUGUGUGAGCCUAAUGAUGUUAUGAUAUGCUAGUGAUAUAUGCGCAUGGCAAAUGUUGCACAAAUAUUUGUAGCCCACAAGUAUUUGAUGCUUUGGUUGCAAUUCUACACUCGAAGUUUGGAGACACUCAAAUUUAGUAUCACAAAUCAUGUGGUUAAGUAUGGGUAUGUUGUUCUUGCAACUCCUGCUUUGAUGUUGCCUUAUUGAUUGGAAAAGAUACAUUUGAGUGGCAUGGACUUUUCCUUAGAAUACAUGGAUGUCAUUGGCUCUCUGCUUGUGAUAUCAUCCCUAUGCGUUUGGUGGUUCAAAGUGGGAAGUUUUUCAAGACUUUAGCUUCUUCUAAUGAAGAUAGUGAUUUGGUGCAAUGAAAACCGAGAUUUGGAGCCUUGCUUUAGCUACCUAAGCAAGCAUGAAACACUGUUAUUCGAAGAGAUCCAUUGGCUGUGUGUAUGCUGUUCUUAUGUUCAGAAAUUGAUGAGCAUCAAGCUUAAAAGGUGUGGGACUUAAAUAGCAGAUCCAGAAAGGUUCUAAAGAUGAGUAGUAAUAGUGGUUUACCAUUUACUUUCAUGAACUGCUAUAGUGGUGAUUCAAACUCUCUUCCAGCCAGAGGAGAUAUCUUAUCAAUUAAGUUGUACUUCAUGGUUUAAUCGUACUACAUGAAUUUAACCCUUCUUCCAUU